UCCCUGGUUAUCUAGUGGCUAAGGAUCCUGUGCUCUCACUGCUGUGGCCUGGGUUCAAUUCCUGGUCAGGGAA